rnacentral:tRNA from 1 species
GGGCCAUUAGCUCAAUGGUAGAGCAACUGACUCUUAAUCAGUGGGUUCCCGGUUCGAGUCCGGGAUGGCCCU